UACGGAGGGGGCUAGCGUUGUUCGGAAUUACUGGGCGUAAAGCGCACGUAGGCGGCUUUGUAAGUCAGGGGUGAAAUCCCAGAGCUCAACUCUGGAACUGCCUUUGAUACUGGCGACCUAGAGUUCGGAAGAGGUUAGUGGAAUUCCCAGUGUAGAGGUGAAAUUCGUAGAUAUUGGGAAGAACACCAGUGGCGAAGGCGGCUAACUGGUCCGAUACUGACGCUGAGGUGCGAAAGCGUGGGGAGCAAACAGGG
rnacentral:rRNA from 1 species